rnacentral:lncRNA from 10 species
UCAAAAGCCUGACCAUGCCAUGUAGCUUUUCCAAACUCACCUUGAGUAAACACACAGCUGCUGCCUCUCACCCACUGAGCUCAAAUCUAUCAUCAUUUUUGUAUUGUGCACUCAUGUAUGGUUUGGCUGCAUGCAACAAGGUGCCGAUCUGCCUCUUCAUGGAAGCAUCGAGGGUCUUGGACCGUGAACUGCUGUGGUGAGACGACGAGAAGGGGACAUUGGGAUUUAGCAGUUGGCACAAGGCCUCCUGGAGCAAUUCCAGGACCCCUCUGGGGAGUUACAAUGGUGGUGACAGGGAAGAUUUACCAUCUGGGACUGUGCUAGGUGCCAAGCGAAGCAGAGCUUGUCAGGUUCCUGGAACCGAGUAUUAACGAUUCCAAUCAAGCAGGAAAUGUCUGUGCCUGUUCUUUGCUAAGCUGGAUUCCUCGCUCACUAGGCAUCAAGGUGCCUGCGGAGUACGCUAGGCAUGAGAAAGGUCUCGGGAGGCCGAGAGUGCCUGGCCUGCCCUCUGGCCCCACCCCAGGUCACGCUUGGGGUCCCUGUAGGCUGCUCACUGGUAAUGGAGGAAGCCUUCAUGGACUUGGGUCCCAUCAGGCUGGCUCUCGGAGAAGCCCUGCAGAACUGUGGUUUGGUUUUAAUGAGGGGAGAAGAUUCCAAAAGUUUAUCAUGAAAAGCCCCAUGACCACCUGUGUUUUAGAGACUUUGAUGACUUCAGAGGCCUUGAAAUACAAUCCCAGAGAAAAACAGUCAGCUUUGGACAUGUGUGUUUGUGUGUGCGUGCAUGUGUGUGUGUUUUGGUGGGGGAUUCCUAAUUCUCACCCCCUAGCCUUCCUCCUGAGCUGGAAGCCAGCCUUGAACAGGCAAGGGUGGGUUCUUAACUUCCUCAGAGCUGGCUGAGAACCACAGAGGCAAUUCCAAGUCAGAUUAAACCCAGAGCCUUGUUCCAGCUUCUGUGUUUAAAGGGAAAGUCAUUGUAUAUUCCUCCUGGAUGCCCUCCUGCCCCCAGAGUCUCACUCCUGUGUCUGAACAGUGGGUGACUUCUCUCAGUGAGCAUAGUUUUUGUUGAUCAUGAUUUGCCAAUCUGUUUCUGAAGUGGGGGGAAAUUAUAGCUGGUAAAUUCUCAGUCUGGACAACACACAAUGUCACUUUGCAAUAAAAUGUGUGAGGACAGAUAAGAUAGUUAUUGUCCUUGCAACAUUAGAGAUCACCAUUAGGUGGUAUAUUAGUCUAGAUUCUCAGAGAAACAGAACCAGUAGCAUAUAGAUAUACAAUUAUGUACUGUAUAACAAUGUUUUGGUGAAUGACAGGCCACAUAUGCAACAGUAUUUUUAUUGUGCCUUUUCUCUCUCUUUUUUUUUUUUUUUUGAGAUGGAGUCUCUCUCUCUGUUCCCCAGGCUGGAGUGCAGUGGGGUGAUCUCGGCUCACUGCAACCUCUGCCUCCUGGCUCCUGGGUUCAAGUGUGUUUGGGCUCAGAACUCUCUGGAAUGAUUCACCUCACUCUCAGUGCAGCUGAGGUUGUUGACGUCACUCUUAGCUUCCCAGGCUGUUAAAAUAUCAAUCAUACCAAUACACAGGGAGAAAGGAGAAAACAGUUCAGCCUAAUGGAUUAAUGACGUUCUUUUGAAUACCUCCUAGAAUAUGAAGAACUGAAGCUUUCCUCAAGAUAACCUUUAGGAAAACUAACAGCUUCAAAGAGAAGAACCAAGAUAAGCAACCCAAGGUUGGUUCCCAGGGAAAGGAGAGACGAUUCAAGAUGUGGACGUCUCAGAGCGCCAUGUCAGCACAUUGCUUCCAAGAAACAACAGUAGGUUGACCCAGUAAAGGUGCAGAGAACAAGAGUUCUUGAAGAUUAUUGGUUAGACUGAAAAUUGAAACGUGACAUGAUUUUGAGUAUUUACUGGAGUAUAAGAAAAAAGAACCCAUGUGACUUUGAUGCUUGGAACUGAUUUAGUACCAGUGAAUUAUAUUUAUUUCUCCAAUCACACUACUUAGUUCUGCAAUGACUAAUAUUUAUAUAAUUAAAAUAAUGUAAAUAUUGUUUCUUCGGUUGCAAUUUUUAGAAUCAACUUCUGGCAGAGCACCAAAGACCUAAUUAAUUUACAAAACAGAAUGCAAACAUUAUAAUAUGGGUGCUGUGAAAGUAACAGUAGCAUUAAUAGCAGUCGGGCAAAGAUGGGGAGAAGGGUAGGGUGAGGAAGGAAUAGCAAGAUCCUCAUGUUGCCCAGGGGAGGCUCAAGAGGAACGGUCUCCUGUUAAUGGAAAAAGAAACAGCAAAGUUAUAAAGGGAAACAAACCAAUGGGAAAAACUAUUAAUAUAUGUUGAUGAAAGACAAGUCUUAGAGGGUUGCGGAGGAAAGAGUGUAAGAAAACAGCCUGUUGCAAGGCAAGAGUAAUGCCACCUGAAGUGAAAUCACCAUCAGGAUCGAUGUUUGACUCCUGAAUACCAAGGUGUUCCUGCAGUCAGGCCAAGAAACAAUUCCUGUAGCAUAGAUAACCCCUUAUAAAGAUGCUUAUCUAACUUUCCCAGUGGUCACACACUUUGUGGGAGGGUCUGAGACGUGACCAACUGUACAUGUUUUACCAAAAGCAGCUUGCUAUAUAAAGACUACUUUCUGGAGGGCAAGUAUAGGAAUCAACCGUCUCUUGGCCACCAG